CGAGUGGAGCGUGGUAAGAGCAGAGGCGAGGUUGAGCGGAGGGGUCGGGGAGUGGGGCAGAGGCAGGGCUAGGACAACUAUCCUGGAAGUGAUCAAGCCUGUGCCCCAGCCCAAGCUCCUGGAGAUCUCUAACCAGAACAGUUCUCACAUCAAGCUGAUCUGCCUCCUGCCCAAUGGAACCAUGGCUGCUGUCUCCUGGAAGAAAGAUGGACAUUCCCUUAUCCCACAAAAUUAUUAUUAUCAGCUCACUCAGAACUCCACUGAAUUGUGGAUAAGGAAGGGAGGGAGGUCAAACUGUGGCUCCUACUCCUGCAAUGUCAGCAAUGCUGUAAGCUGGAAUGUGGCAACCGUCAACCUCACAAUAACAGGUCUCUCGCCUCCUCUCCAUAAUGCAUUGAGGAUGACAGUGGCUGCACUGGUUUUCGCUGUCAUUGCUGCCAUCAGCUUUGUUAUCCAGCUCGUGAAGCCAGGGGCGCACAGACUCGGAAAAGAAGCAUGGACAUGGCUAACUAAACCCAUCAUAGGGCUGCUGGGCAUCUCAAGUCUCCUCCUGUUUGUCACCUCUGUCAUCUGGAUGCGGGAAGAAGGUCCUUCUGCUGCCUUCAUCCUGCAUGGGCUUUACUUCCUUGCUGCAGUCAUGAUUAUGGUGAUGAUUGCUGUGAUCUCUCUGUGCAGACCAGAAGCACUCACCCAGCGUCCAGCCCAGACCUGCCCCCGUGUCAUCCAGCACAGCACACCCAUGACAAUGGCAGCCAACUUGUCAUUCUCCUGCCUCUUGCUCCACAUCUUCCAGCAGGUCCAUGAGCGUGGCUGCUCGGAGCCAGUUAAUGUGAUUUCCAGCUGUGUCCUUGCUGUACUGGGAGCUCUCCUGCUGCUGCUGCUCUUCUUCCUCCAGUAUUACAAGAAGAAGAUGGAUGCGAGCACACGGACAAACACCCAAGGGAAAGCAGAUGAUCGAGGCUCAAACCAAGACAAGAAGAGCAACCUGUCCCUUCAGCAUCCUGGAGACAACAUCAGGCAGGAUCCAGGCUGA
ensembl:lncRNA uncharacterized LOC107312816